rnacentral:tRNA from 1 species
GCCCUCAUGGCGGAAUUGGUAGACGCGCUAGCUUCAGGAGCUAGUGGCCGCAAGGCCAUAGAGGUUCAAAUCCUCUUGGGGGCA